GCUGAAGCUGGAAAAAUUGGGAAGGAAGGAUGAUUGCGAAUCUGAACUCCCAAGGACACAUAUGUUCAAGACUGUGGAGGCCUGUGGUUUGUGAGCCAUCAGCAAAAUUAAGACAUGGUGAAAUCUGGACAUAAGGUUUUCAGUUCACAGGGAUGGGCAGCUGUGAGGAGCCCUUGGGUCCAGCCCAGAGACACGGCUGUCUCAACACUUUUGAAGCUGCAGGUCUGGAGGCUGGAGCAUGUGCCAAUGAUACAUCCUCAGACAUUCAUUUCAAUAUUUUGUUCAACAGGAAAACUGGGAUGGACGUUCUGGAAGCACAAGAUGACAGCAGUGGCGAAGUCCGGAUGCCACCGUACAAGGUAGCAGAUGGUGGGACCAAGUGGGAGAAAAGGCCCGUGCUCAUAUGUGAACUCAGCAGGAGGGACUCAAGGCACCUGACCAGCAGGCCACCUCAUCUUCAUAAACUCCAGAAAUGUAUCUGAGCCCCAUGUCUAACA